rnacentral:rRNA from 1 species
UAGGGAAUCUUCCACAAUGGACGAAAGUCUGAUGGAGCAACGCCGCGUGAGUGAAGAAGGUUUUCGGAUCGUAAAGCUCUGUUGUUGGUGAAGAAGGAUAGAGGCAGUAACUGGUCUUUUAUUUGACGGUAAUCAACCAGAAAGUCACGGCUAACUACGUGCCAG